rnacentral:rRNA from 1 species
AAACGUAGGAGGCGAGCGUUAUCCGGAUUUACUGGGCGUAAAGGGCAAGUAGGCGGUGGCCAAAGUUGGGCGUGACAUCUCCCGGCUCAACUGGGAGGGGUCGUUCAAAACUAGGUCACUAGAGGGCAGGAGAGGGAAGCGGAAUUCCUAGUGUAGCGGUGGAAUGCUCAGAUAUUAGGAAGAACACCAGUGGCGAAGGCGGCUUCCUGGCCUGUACCUGACGCUGAGAGGCGAAAGCUAGGGUAGCAAACGGGCUUAGAUACCCCGGUAGUCCUAGCUGUAAACGUUGGAUACUGGGUAUUGGGGGUGACAAUGCCCUCAGUGCCGAAGCAAACGCGUUAAGUAUCCCGCCUGGGGACUACGGCCGCAAGGUUAAA